AGCAGCCGCGGUAAUUCCAGCUCCAAUAGCGUAUAUUAAAGUUGUUGCAGUUAAAAAGCUCGUAGUUGAAUUUCGGGAUCAAUAUAUCGGUCGUGCCUUGGUACGUACUGGUAUCAUUGGUUUCUCCUUUCUGACGAACCAUGAUGUCAUUAAUUUGGUGUUAUGGGAAGUUAGGACUGUUACUUUGAAAAAAUUAGAGUGUUUAAAGCAGGCUUUAGCUUGAAUACAUUAGCAUGGAAUAAUGAAAUAGGACGUUCGAACCUAUUUUGUUGGUUUCUAGGAUCAACGUAAUGAUUAAUAGGGAUAGUUGGGGGGCAUUAGUAUUCAAUUGUCAGAGGUGAAAUUCUUGGAUUAUUGAAGACUAACUACUGCGAAAGCAUUUGCCAAGGAUGUUUUCAUUAAUCAAAGAACGNGAGUUAGGGGAUCGAAGACGAUCAGAUACCGUCGUAGUCUUAACCAUAAACUAUGCCGACUAGGGAUCGGAUGAUGUUAAUUUUUUCAAUGACUCAUUCGGCGCCUU
rnacentral:rRNA from 1 species